rnacentral:rRNA from 1 species
AGAACGAACGCUGGCGGCGUGCCUAACACAUGCAAGUCCAACGUGAAAGGGGAGCAAUCCCCCGGUAGGGUGGCAAACGGGUGAGUAAUACAUGGGUGAUCUACCUUUAGGGAUGGGGAUAUCCUUCCGAAAGGAGGGGCAAUACCGAAUAUGUCCGGAGCCGUGAAGGGUUCCGGGGAAAGGGAGGCCUCUGAUACAAGCUUUCGCCUUAAGAUGAGCCAUGGCCCAUCAGCUAGUUGGUAGGGUAAAGGCCGUACCAAGGCUACGACGGGUCGCUGGUCUGAGAGGACGACAGCCAACACUGGCACUGAGAUACGGGCCAGACUCUACGGGAGGCAGC